AGACUACACAGCAAAGGAGGAAAAAUUAAAAUUCCAUAUUAUCUUGAAUUUGGGGGCUAGGGUACGCGCAUCCAGAUUUCAGAUUCCAAUCCUCUCCAUCGCCAAAUCCGUUCUUCGAUAUCAGAGUUCAGCUUCUGAGCCCUCCGCCAUCGUUUUGAAGCCUGAUCGGCGGCGCCUUGACUCCUCUAGUCCGAUCUCCGGCGGCGAAGAAUCGAAGCCGUCUGUCAAAGUAAUAUGGAGAGAGAUCCUUACAAGACUUGCAAGAAAUGUGAUUUGCAACAAAUUUGGAUACCGCAAGAAAUAUGGAGAAAUCUCCUUACAAGACUCCCGAUCAGAUGCCUUAUGAGGUGUAGGUGCGUUUGUAAGUCAUGGCGCAAUCUAAUAGAAGGGGAUCAGUUUGCGACUCCAAAACAAUUCAUGGCUUUUGUUAAUCAAGACAUGACGGGGUAUGCAGUCGCUGAUGAGGACGGCCAACCACUUUUCCAAUUCUACUGGCCCCCUUAUUCAACUUCUCACCAUCGUUUGGUAAUUAGCUCAGUUAAUGGUUUGCUUUUGUUGUGGGAUGGAUUGGAUGAUAAUCGUGAUAUUCUUUUCAUAGCCAACCCAAUGACUUGUGAAUAUACUGAGCUUCCUCCUCUACCUACACGUUUUCUCAUGUGUACACUCUAGGAGGAGAAUCUGCAUCUUCGUGGAGAAGGAUCCUAGCACCACUGACAACUAGAUUGCCUACAACAAAGCCAUUGUGGGACUCAGUUACACUUAGACCAUCACUUGAUUAUGCUGUAUUUUUAAACGGAAAUAUUCACUGGGUUGCUUGUGAUUUAGAGAAUAAUUUUUUAGUUUGUUGCUUUGAUCUUGAAACAGAGUUGUUUACCAGUUUUCCUCUUCCAUCCCUUGAUGUGCGUAUCUUGAUUCAUCCUGAGGAUAAACGUUCGGUUUUCUUAUAUUUGGGAUAUCGGCUAUGCAUUUUAGAGGACCAGCUAUGUUUAUGCGAUACAUCAUAUCCUAGAAAUGCUGCCAAAAUUUGGAAGAUGCACAAUUAUGGAGAUGCAAGUUCUUGGAUAAAGGAAUAUGACUUCAAAUCACCGACAUACUAUACCACUCCGCUCAAAGUUUUGACGAAUGGUGAAUUGUUGUUUACUGGCCAUGGUGGAUUAUUUAUCUACUCAAAAAACACUGAAGCUUAUGAUGUACGUGGUUUUCUUCAACAAUAUUGCUAUUAUUACUUUCCUAGCACCACUAUUUACAUCCCUAGCUUUUUAUCACUCAAAACAUUGGGAAUUCACAAUGUUCAGUCAUUAUGUUUUUAUUAGGGUUGCAUUAUUUGAAUAGUUACUGGAUAUUGUGAAAGUGGUGACAUCUAAGUAUUUGCAUAUGUAGUGUUUAUGCUUGAAUGCUUUCGUCGAAUUUGAUGCAAAUGUUUGGAGAUGAUAACUAAGUAGGGCUGAGCUUAUGAAGAAAGCCAAUGGCCAAUAUUUUCCUUA